ACUACUACUCCAGUAACGAUUCCUGGCAAGCGAGCGGGCGAGCGGGCGCCGCCGCUAGGCGAAUCGGCGGGGAACGGAGGCGCCGCCGCCGCCGCCAGGGGAAUCGGCCCGUGGCUGUGCUCUCUUCCUUUCGAGGGUUCCGUCGGGGUGCGGCCGCUAGGUGAGUCAGGGGCUUCCGGAGCGAGGGAUUUGUGUAAUUUUAGGGUUAGGGUUGCGAAUUUGUGGUCUUGGGCAGCGUUUGAGGUGGGUUUCUCCCACGGAUUCGUGGUCUUGGCGAGCGUUUGAGGGAAAAUAUAUAUGAAUGCAGGCACUGUCCUAUGCCAUGGUAUUCCAGAUUCUAAUAGAAGUCAAGGGGUUCAUCCAGGAGGUGUGCAGUGCUAGUCUCUUCCGUUGGACGCACCCGCUGCCUGCUCGGCAUCAGCUACGUAACACCCAUGGAGCAGCAGGCGCUGUCCAUGGAUGAGGAUGACGACCGGGACCCAAUAAUGGGAGAUCUGAAACUACACCAUCUGACAGGCAAGGUGUGCGGUGGUAGGCUCGGCCUUGGCGUUGUCCGUUGGACAGACCCGCUGCCGCCGGUGGUGCUGUUUGGCAUCGGCAUGGCACAACUUGUAGAUGAGUAUUCAGUGUUGGACAGUGAAGAAGAAGAGGAAGGCAAUGCUUCCGUUGGACCCGCUGCCUGUUCGGCAUCGGUUACAUAACAGCCAUGCAGCAGCAGAAAGUGGACAAGGGGUUCAUCCAGGGGGUGCUCAGUGCUAGGCUCUUCCGUUGGACUGACCCGCUGCCUGCUCGGCAUCGGUUACAUAAUACCUUUGCAGGUGCCUAGCUCCAUGGACUAGGAGGAUGAACAGGACCCCAAGCCCAAGCCGACGAGCACGAUGAGGACAUGGUCGAGUCCAGGGUGACCUCGACUCACACAAGGCAUGUAUGAUGUAGCUAGAGAACUCCUGAUGCCAGCUCUAUAUAUAUGGUGGCCUGACCAUUCCCUAUUGUAUUUGGUGGCAAGAGGAUGCUACUGCUUUUGAGUAUUUGAGUUAAUUGAUGCAAACGGUUGAAUAUUUGACAGUUAGAACGAGGCUGCGUUUGAUUGAUUCAGUUUGGUUCAGUGAGCAGGGUUCAUGUAUUGUAUAUGAAUACAGAGUGAUUGGACUGGUGCUUGCCGUGAAACUCUAUGUAUUGUACUGUAUAUGAAUUGUUCAUCACUGAUGGAUAUGUGCUCUUGUGUGAAA